UAGGGAAUCUUCCACAAUGGACGCAAGUCUGAUGGAGCAACGCCGCGUGAGUGAAGAAGGUUUUCGGAUCGUAAAGCUCUGUUGUUGGUGAAGAAGGAUAGAGGCAGUGACUGGUCUUUAUUUGACGGUAAUCAACCAGAAAGUCACGGCUAACUACGUGCCAGCAGCCGCGGUAAUACGUAGGUGGCAAGCGUUGUCCGGAUUUAUUGGGCGUAAAGCGAGCGCAGGCGGAAUGAUAAGUCUGAUGUGAAAGCCCACGGCUCAACCGUGGAACUGCAUCGGAAACUGUCAUUCUUGAGUGCAGAAGAGGAGAGUGGAAUUCCAUGUGUAGCGGUGGAAUGCGUAGAUAUAUGGAAGAACACCAGUGGCGAAGGCGGCUCUCUGGUCUGCAACUGACGCUGAGGCUCGAAAGCAUGGGUAGCGAACAGG
rnacentral:rRNA from 1 species